CGGGCUGGACUUGAACCCGGGCGCUGCGGCAACAGCCUUGUACAUAGGGUGCCUGCUCUACCCACUAAGCCACCAGCACCCCAUAUGACUCAGUUUUAAAGGUCUUUAGCUUUUAUUUUCUAACAUAUCUUAAUGCCAGCAACUGAAUUCCUGUCUCUGUUUUAAUAAAGGUUGGUCGACUGUGUGAACAUCAAGGACAGAGAUGAAAAGAUAAAAAGUCCAGGACUUUAUCUUUUUAUCUCUGACAAACUCUGAUAUGUAUUUUUAGAAAUAUAUUAGAAUGAUGUCGAUAAACUGAAACCCUAGUAGUGUGUUUUUGUGGGUGGUAUGUGGGUUGUUGGACUCAUAACCUCAUUAUUUCUAAAAUCCUGAUUGUGGUUAUUAUUUUAUAUAUUUAUUCAGCAAAAGGAACAAACAUCAGUCAGUCAAAAAUACUUCAAAUAUACAUGAUAUUAUAAAUAUAUGUAU